ACUUAAGCAUAUCAAUAAGCGGAGGAAAAGAAACCAACAGGGAUUCCCCUAGUAACGGCGAGUGAAGCGGGAACAGCUCAAAUUUGAAAUCUGGCCCUUGGGUCCGAGUUGUAAUUUGCAGAGGAUGCUUUUGGUGCGGUGCCUUCCGAGUUCCCUGGAACGGGACGCCUUAGAGGGUGAGAGCCCCGUACGGUUGGCCACCAAGCCUGUGUAAAGCUCCUUCGACGAGUCGAGUAGUUUGGGAAUGCUGCUCAAAAUGGGAGGUAUAUUUCUUCUAAAGCUAAAUACUGGCCAGAGACCGAUAGCGCACAAGUAGAGUGAUCGAAAGAUGAAAAGCACUUUGAAAAGAGGGUUAAAUAGCACGUGAAAUUGUUGAAAGGGAAGGAUUUAUGACCAGACUUUUUCUAGGGGGAUCAUCCGGUGUUCUCACCGGUGCACUUCCCCUAGUUGAGGCCAGCAUCGGUUUCUGUCGGGGGAUAAAAGCUUCAGGAAUGUGGCUCCCUCCGGGGAGUGUUAUAGCCUGUUGCAUAAUACCCUGACGGGGACCGAGGUUCGCGCAUUGCAAGGAUGCUGGCGUAAUGGUUAUUAAUCACCCGUCUUGAAACACGGACCAAGGAGUCGAACAUUUGUGCGAGUGUUUGGGUGUUAAACCCUCACGCGUAAUGAAAGUGAACGGAGGUGAGAGCCCUUCGGGGUGCAUCAUCGACCGAUCCUGAUGUCUUCGGAUGGAUUUGAGUAAGAGCAUAACUGUUCGGACCCGAAAGAUGGUGAACUAUGCGUGGAUAGGGUGAAGCCAGAGGAAACUCUGGUGGAGGCUCGCAGCGGUUCUGACGUGCAAAUCGAUCGUCAAAUCUGCGCAUGGGGCGAAAGACUAAUCGACCAU
rnacentral:rRNA from 2 species